AGGAAGGCCAACCGCCGUUUUGGGCCGAGAGAGAGACGCCGGCCCAGCUAAAGCCCGCGCGGCAUAGAAGAAAAGGGAGAAAGAAAAGAGGGGCCGCCGUCCGUCGUGGGCCAAGGGGAGGAGGAAGCAGGCCGGUUGGUGAACUUGGGCCAGGAGUCCAAGUCUCGGUGGGGGAGGCCCAGGUGGAGCGGGAGAGAAGGAGUAGGCCGGUCACCCGUCUUGGGCCAAGGGAAAGAAUUGGCCCAGCUGGCCCGCACGGCAUAAAAGAAAAAGGAGGGGUUUAGCAGGCCAGUAGAGUGUUGCUUGGGCCGUGUUGCCCAGUUGCGGUGGAGGAGGCCCAUUAGUGCGUCGACGUUCGUUGGGCCCAUGACCUUUUGAGGAAGAAAGGGAGGACCGGUGGGCUGACGAUCGGGUUGAAAAGAAAAUAGGCCGUGCGGCCCAGAUAGAAGUAAAGGAGGAAGAAGGUGGGCCGGCCGGAGUUGAGAAAGAGGAGAAGAGGAGGAAGCCGGCCCAAAAAGGAGAUACCACGAGGAAGGGUGCCGGCUGUGGGCCCCACUUGUCAAUGAAGAAAAGAAAAAGAAGAAUAGGGGACCGGAUGGGCCCUAGGUGGAAGUGAUGGUGGGUAGAAGCAAGUUAGAAAAGUUUGGGCCGGGGUUUUUUUUAUUAAAUCUUAGGUUUUCUUUUAUUAGAUAAAUAGAUUAAAUGUUGUUUUCACCAUUUAAUUCACAGGAAAUUCUAGAAGUACCCAAAAUUAGUGAAACCAAUUUUAUUGGGAUUUUUUUUUAUUUUUCUUUAUGCAUUAAAAUUCUUAAACCCUAGGAAAAAUAAUAAAAAUUUAGGUAUUUAUUUAAUGCCUUUUUGUUUAAGGUAUUUAAAUAAAUGCUUAAGCCUUAUUAAAUGUAUAAAACUUGAGUAAUGCUUUAUUAUCCACAAAUUAUUAUUAAUUCAUAGGAAUUAGGUUUUUGAGAUUAGAAAAUUAUUAUAAUACUUUUAAAAAUAAAAGGAGAGAUCUAAGGUAGGUUUAGUAAAGGAAAUAAAAAUGGUGGGCUAAUUUUUUUUUAGGGUUUUUGUGUGUUGGCUUGCAACUUUAUCAUGAUAAAUUGUAUAGUCUUUGUUGGCUUGCAACUUUAUCAUGAAGCAAAGUUGUAUAGUCUUGUAUUCAAAAAGUUUUGCAUCUUUAACUCCUGCAUACUACAUCGUAGACAUCACAACUCCUGAAGUGGGAAUUCAUGGAAUUCAGCCGGAGAUGGACAGCUUUCGCAGUGCCUCUUUCAACAAACAAGUUUUCCGAAGAACUAACCUUGUUGAUCCCAGGCAAGCCCCGGUGCAUUUACACCUAUCUAUUUUGAGAUCAUUAUUUCAUGUGACUAGUUAUAAGUUAUGGGUUUAUUGUAUGCACUAAGUCUAGGAGUUGAAUGAAACCCAUUCUUGUGUAUGACUAUGCCUUGAAUUAAGGACAUCUUUGCCACUUGUUCAAAUCCUAGAAACUACCCAAGUCUAGAAUUGCUUACUUGCUUACAUGUUUGGUUUACCAACCUUAAGGCAAACACUUAAGUCAUACAUGUUGCUUAUGAAAGAUAGUUUGGAACAUGGAACCAGACAGAAGCUAGAGAUGUAGUUCUGUCUACUAGGUUAAUCUGGUUAAGGACCGAUCCGUGUCUUAACCAUUGAUCAAGUGAUAACCUCUGAUCACUUACUGGGUAUGGGACCAGUAAAGCCCAGUAGAUUAGUAAAUUCUAUGAUCAGGAAUACUUCGUACCCGCAUUUGACGUGCUGGAGAUUGGCAGGGGUGUAGCCUGAAACUCACAUGGAGAUCAGGCCAGACGUGGGGUCCCAUGUGGGGGUGCAUCCCUGGGUCCGGGUAGUUGUAUUCCUAAUCAUUGACUUUGCUAAUCGAGAGGUUGUGAGAUACGACCGGAACAGUCGUAUAAUGCUGGUGAUCGGGGUACUCUCCUGCAGGAUGUAAUUAGAUCUGGAUCGCCGCAAUUCUCGGUUAUGAAUGCACUUGAUCGUUGUUAAGCAUCGUAGUAUCAACUCAUGCGAUAUAAAAUCUCCUGUUGUCAAGUAAUGUAUGACUCAACAGCUGUGGUUGCUUUUACUUCUGUUAUCAUCUAGAAUGGUUAGGUAAUGAUUUAACUAAAAUAAAAGAUAAAACUAAGGCCUCACUCGUAGUAAGCUUUUUCGGCAAAAAUUGUGUCAACCAAGCACACCCAAAGGCUGACUUGCAUUCCAAAGAAAUACUAUUAUAUUGGUUAGUCGGGUAAGACUUGCUGAGUACUUCGUACUCAGGGGAUCCCUUGUUGUUGUUUUCAGAAGCCCAGCGGGGACUCACCGAAGAGGAAGCCCUGAAGACCUAGGGUAUCUUAUGAGUCUCAUGAUACCCUAGAAUAAAACUUAGAUGUUUAUCUUUCUUCCGGACCGGUUUAUGUUUUAAAUUCUUGAAACCACGCUAACCUGCAUUAUUAAGUUUGUUUCAAACUAUGGUUGUAAUAUAUCGUACCUUUGUUAUUUCUUUAAAAAUGUAAUAUUUGUUGGUAUUAUCCCAUCGCGGAUAUUAUCCUGAGGUAUGGCUAUGAGACACAUCGUGGAUCCUUCGAGGAGUCCUAGGGACACUCGACGGACUACCGGACUUAUGCUGUUUUAGGUG
rnacentral:lncRNA from 1 species